CGUUCUGUGGCUUCGUUGGUUAAAGCGCCGGUCUAGCGAAGUCGGAGGUUCGUGGGUUCAAAUCCCACUAGAACGU
rnacentral:tRNA from 1 species